rnacentral:rRNA from 1 species
CUGGCGGCGGCCUACACAUGCNAGUCGAGCGGCAGCACGGGUACUUGUACCUGGUGGCGAGCGGCGGACGGGUGAGUAAUGCCUAGGAAUCUGCCUGGUAGUGGGGGAUAACGCUCGGAAACGGACGCUAAUACCGCAUACGUCCUACGGGAGAAAGCAGGGGACCUUCGGGCCUUGCGCUAUCAGAUGAGCCUAGGUCGGAUUAGCUAGUUGGUGAGGUAAUGGCUCACCAAGGCGACGAUCCGUAACUGGUCUGAGAGGAUGAUCAGUCACACUGGAACUGAGACACGGUCCAGACUCCUACGGGAGGCAGCAGUGGGGAAUAUUGGACAAUGGGCGAAAGCCUGAUCCAGCCAUGCCGCGUGUGUGAAGAAGGUCUUCGGAUUGUAAAGCACUUUAAGUUGGGAGGAAGGGCAUUUACCUAAUACGUAAGUGUUUUGACGUUACCGACAGAAUAAGCACCGGCUAAUUCUGUGCCAGCAGCCGCGGUAAU